rnacentral:lncRNA from 13 species
CCCUUUAUCAGUCACUGUUCUUCUGGUGAGAAUGCUGGUCUCAGAGCUGAAGCCGGGUGAAGUCACCCCCGGAGGAGGAGGAAGCCAGAGCAGCCGGUGACUCACCCACACGAGACCACGGGUGGUGGCCAGCGCAGAGCGGGGCUCCCCCCUGCUGGCUGUGAUCCAGGCAGCGCCUUGGCCCGAGGUGUCCCUGACGGGGGCGGUGGGGCAGCUGCUGAAACCUGAACUCCUCUGCCCUGCCCCCGUCUCUUGACCCCACACAUCUAGCAGGACAGCGCCAGAGGAAAUCCUCGAAGAAAAGGGGCGUCUCCCUUGCUGAGCACAGAAUCGCCAUCAGGCCUGUGUGCCCUGUCCCUGAGGACAGGAAGGACAUGGGGGAGAGGCCAUGGUCACCCCCAAGAGCCCCCAGACCCACUGGAAAGCAGCCUGCACAGAUUUCCAUUUCUGCUACCACCGGGAUGGAAAAGGCCUCUUCCCCGAUUCCCGCUCCAUCCCAAGAAUCCAUCUCCUUCGGUAAUACUGGGUGCAGACAGCCUGUGACACGGAAGGCUGAGUGC